AUGGGUUUAAAGCUGAAGGACGGUGAUAACCCAUCAAGCUCUUCUAGAGAUCCGAAUGAUCGUAGUAUUUGGGACUUAAUCUGGAAAGCCAAAGUACCUGGGAAGGUUCGCAUCUUUGGCUGGAAGAUUGCCACAAACACCCUCGCCACCAGAAAGAACAAGUGGAAGAGAACCAUUGAGCUUGAUGCCACUUGCAAUAUUUGUGGUAACGGAGUUGAAGACGAAUACCAUGCUGUCGUAGCGUGCACAAAGAGCAGAGCUCUGCGUUUCGCUUUACGGAAGAAGUGGGGAUUACCUGCAGAGGACAGGUUCAGAUAUACUGGAGAUGACUGGCUGCAAGUACUGCUUGACACUGAAUCUGAGGAUAUGCGUGCAAAAAUCCUCUUGUUGCUAUGGCGUUGUUGGUACUUAAGGGAGGACUGCAUCAGAGGACCGGGCAAGGAACCUAUAUCGGUUUCAGUGCAGUUCUUGAUGAAGCUGAAUCAAUAG
rnacentral:rRNA from 1 species